GCUAGGCGCGGUGGCUCAUGCCUGUGAUCCUAGCACUUUGGGAGGCCAAGGCGGGCGGAUUACCUGAGGUCAGGAGUUCAGGACCACCCUGGCCAACAUGGUGAAACCUGUCUCGACUAAAUAUAUAUAUAUAUAUAUAUAUAUAUAUAUAUAUAUAUAUAUAUAUANNNNNNNNNNCACCCAGCUAAUUUUUUGUAUUUUUAGUAGAGACGGGGUUUCACCGUGUUAGCCAGGAUGGUCUCGAUCUCCUGACCUCGUGAUCCGCCCGCCUC
rnacentral:SRP_RNA from 1 species